rnacentral:misc_RNA from 1 species
GAUGAAGAACGUAGCGAAAUGCGAUACGUAAUGUGAAUUGCAGAAUUCAGUGAAUCAUCGAGUCUUUGAACGCACAUUGCGCCCCCUGUUAUUCCGGGGGGCAUGCCUGUCCGAGCGUCAUUGCUGCCCUCAAGCACGGCUUGUGUGUUGGGCCUCCGUCCUCCUCCCGGGGGACGGGCCCGAAAGGCAGCGGCGGCACCGCGUCCGGUCCUCGAGCGUAUGGGGCUUCGUCACCCGCUCUUGUAGGCCCGGCCGGCGCUUGCCGACACAUCAAUCUUUUUUCCAGGUUGACCUCGGAUCAGGUAGGGAUACCCGCUGAACUUAAGCAUAUCAAUAAGCGGAGGA